rnacentral:lncRNA from 1 species
UUUUUUAUUUUUGGUUUUGUAAAAGUGUAACCCAAUUCGAUCCAAAAUAAAUUUGAUUUGGUUUGGUUUUCCUCUAUUCGAUUCGGCUUUUUUCGAUUUGGUUAUUCGGUUAUGUCAAUAAUUAACAACAUAACCAAAAGUGGUUAACUCCAACUUAAUUCUAAACCUAUACAUACAUAUAUAUAUAGAGAGAGAUAAUUCGGUUUUUUCGGUUUUUAUUUUUUUAAAUCCGAAACCAAAUCAAAAAACCAAACAAAGUAAUUUAUUAAUCCAAAACCAAUCCGAAAAAAUAAAAAACCAAUCCAAAUAAAAAUUUGAUUUGAUUUGAUUUGGUUAUUCAGUUUAACCCGAAUAGUGCACACCCCUAAUUGGGAUCCAACUAUCCUUGAUAUUUCUAUUAUAAAUAAGUAAAUUAUUUAUUUCUUGAUUUCUAUUUCUCACAAAUAUAUAAAUACCUUUUACGAUAAUAUGUAUAUAUAAUUAUUGAAGUUAAACAAUUGAAUGCACUCCUCUUAGUUACAUAAUUUAAUUAUCAAAAUAGUAAUAUUAAAAAAUUAGAAGUGUAUGUGUGCUUGAAUUAAAAUAUGCUCUUAGUAAAUUCUCUUUGAUUACCUUAUUUGUUAUGAUUAAUUAUUACAUUAAUCAUCUCUUUAGAUUACAAAUAAGUGUAAAAUAAAUUAUACUAACUUAAAAAUUAAUUAAUUUUUACUAAUUAAUUAAUUUUUAUAUUUAUAAACAAUUUAAUUAUUUUAUAUUUUACCCAUAAAAGUAAUUUUUAUAACUAUGUAUAUAAUAACAUAUUUUUUAAAUUAUAAAUUUCAAAAAAUUCCACGUGUACAGUAAAUUGAUUAACCUUAAAUGAAACGAAGUGAACACUCAAAAAAAAAAUCUUAAAAUGAGUUCAUUUAAGGUUGCUACACUCGUAAUUCAAAGUAGACGUCUUAAAAAAAUAAAUCAAACCAAUAAAAAUUACUCUAAGAUCAUAUAUAGAACUAUGUGAAGUGCCACGCAUAAGCUCUGUUUAUUCAUAUAUUUUAAAGUUACAAAUUUGAAAAUUUACAUUUUUAAAAUUUAAAGUUGUAUUUUUAGAUAUGUAUUUUAAUAUUUUGAAACAUGAAAAAAAAUGAGAAGAAAGAUUUUUUUAAAUUUGAUACAAAAUAUAUAGGCAUAAUACAUAAAUAUGUUCGUUAACUUGAUUUCAACUGACAUCUAUUUCCUUUGGUGUAUGCAAGGAGACACUUAAACUUGUCUAAAAUUAUACAAGUGGACACAUACGUCCUAUGUGACAUAAUAUACGUAGGUUGCCACAUACAACACAAAAUUGUCAUAUGGGACAUCACUUAGGACGCAUGUGUCUAUUGGUUCAAUUUUAUAUAAAUUUAAGUACCUACUUGUGCAGAGUCAAAAUUGGAGGACAUAGAUGACAGUUGAAGUCAAAGUUAAAGGGGAUAUUUAUGUAUUAUGCCAAACUAAGGGAUAAGACACAAGUACCCCUUAGACUAUGAUCGAAAUCUCAGAGACACGCUUUUACUAAACUAAGGUUUUAUGAUCCCUCCACCCCACCCGAACUCAUGUUUUUUGUAAUUUUGUACACAUGUUGGCUUGCACGACACACUAUGUGACUCCACUCAAUAGAGACGCGUGAGAGAUGUUUGGAAGUCAUGUACACUAAAAAGGUAUACAAAAUCAUUAAAAAAUUGGAUUUGGGAUAAUAAAACAUUAGUUUAGUUAAAGUGUGUCUUUGAAUUGCGAUCAUAGUCUAGGAAUUACCAUUUCUUCAUUCAAUUAUUUUCUUAGAUUACCUUUUUGCCUCGUAAGUCACAUAAUUGGUUUGUCCAAUAAAAAUUUCCCACAAUUUGCACAGAAUCUAUUUAUUUUUAAAUAAUAUGGAAUAGUUGUAUAAUUUUUUUUGGGGGGUCUCACAAUAGGUGGAAAAGUUCAUAUAGGCUUUGUUGGGCGACCCUGAUAGAAAAAUUAGAAAAUCCCAAAGAGACUGAUAAAACGUACUUAUAUGCUUACUAAGCUGCUGCUGCCUAUCCGCAGUCAUGGUACACAAGUUCCGCAAGCAAAUUGGUGAAGUCUCUUCCAUUUCUAACAUUUCUCAACCCAAAUUCUGCAAGAUCAUUUUUAGCCCACAUGAAUUAUGCCGUCUCGUAAGUACUUUCUUCCCCAUUUUCCUUCUUUAAUUUCUCCUGGAUUCCCAAUUUUAUCUUACUGCAACUCUAUUUUCCCUCCUCGUUAGUUGUGCAUUUGAAUCCAACGAUUAGUAAUCUAAUUCAAUGAGAAUUUGCUAAUAAAAUUGGCAUAAUACAUUAAUGUAUCCUUUAACUUGAUCUACUCCAACUUUGGGCAUACCUAGACCGUUAAACUUGUAUAAAGUCGAACAAAUAGACACACAGGUGUACGUAGGAUGAUGUGUAGGACGUGUGUGUCUCUGUCACGUAGGAUGUUGUGUAGGAUGGGCAUUGCCAUGUAAGACGUGUGUCUGUUUGUGCACACCCAAAAUUAGAGCACAUAGAUGUUAAAGGACUUGUAUUAUGCCAAUUCAAUUUGGAGGCUUGGAGGUAAGAAAUGAAUCUUUGCUUUUAUUCAAGAGCAGAAGCUAGCUAAUGAGGUCAGAAAUGUGCAAGGCCUACAGCUCAUUCUCUCAAUCAACGUAGGACAAUUUUAUGUAGGUCGAAUAAAAAUACUGUGUGCGUAGGUGUCUAUUGCCAAUUAUGUAUGAAACUGAAUUCAGAUUUCCUUUGAACACAGAGGAUUCCAAAAGGAUUUGCCAGCAGAUAUUGCAAGAACAUCUUAAACCCUGUGUAUCUUGAGGUUCCCAGUGGAGAAGUAUGGGAGGUUGAACUGGAACAUUCUGAAGGCCACAUUUGGCUAGCUGAAGGCUGGAAGGAUUUCAGCGACUAUUACUCAAUAAGACGCGGGAACUUUUUUAUGUUCGGAUACAAUGCUCGUUCUCAUUUUAAUGUCACUAUAUUUGAUUUUAGUGCAGCAGAAAUUGAAUAUCCACCAGCAGAGAUUGAGUCGGAUGAUUCUAUAGAUAUUUUGGAUGUGGUUGAGCAUUCUUCUGAAUAUCUGAGCUAUGACCCCGUAGUGCAGGAGAGAAAAAGAAUAAGACAAGAAGGGGAAGAAGAGGAUGAUAUUCCAGUUGAACAUCAAACUAAUGUAAUCGAUGAAGAAGAGUUUCAAGGGAAUGUAGUUUCACUAGGUAAGAAAACAUCUUAUCUGGUUUAUUAGCUAUGAACAGAAUGAAAUCAGUCAUCUUGUUACAUUAUAAUUUAAUAGUAAUACAUUGCUUUUGAAUGUCUGUUUCAAGUAAUAAGUGAAGAUUGCGAGGAGCACGAACAACAAUCCAACAUUGUUACCAGUAAGAGAAAGGCAGAGAGGGAUGAAGGGAUAGCUGAUAACUAUCAAAGAGCAAAAGCUUUUAAAUCUAAGAAUCCAUUCAUUGUAUCUUUUAUGCAUCCAUCGUAUGUCUCGAGACCACACGCUCUGGUAAGCUAUCAAACUUUGUAGAAUGCCUGAUGCCCGACCCUUUUUAAUUCAUAUGCACAACCUUAAACUCAAUUUAUGAUUUACCUCUUUUGGCAGUACAUUCCGUUGAAAUUUGCUAGGAUGUAUUUCAUGGGGAACAGUGGCAAUUUAGUGUUGCGUGUUCCAGGGAAAGGAUCUUGGCCUGUCAAAUGCAUUAUGCUAAGGAAAGAUGCUAAAGUUACUUGUGGUUGGAAGGCGUUCGUUCUGGACAAUAAGUUAAAAUAUGGUGAUGUUUGUGUCCUUGAAGUAAUUAAUGACACUAAGCUUUCCUUGAUAGAUGUCACCAUAUUUCCAGGGAUUUCUGAUGGUACAAACUGAGUCUAUCAAUGCUGAGGCGUUUGGUUCCAUGUUCUCAACACAUAGAUACAUCCUAUCAAAGAGCAACAGCUUUUACAUCUGAAAAUCGGUUCUUCAACACAUAGAUCCAUUCUAUUUGCCUUUUGUAAGUUCCUGCCUUUUGCAAAGGGGAGUCCUCCUCCCAUUAAAUUAGAGAAAUUUCGCCCAAAGCAUGUAAAACCUUAGAGUUUUUUAUUUUGUAAUAAUAGCUUCUUGUAUGGAGGGUUUUUGUCAUGAACUUCUUGUGUAGAGUUGAGUAUGUUCAACUGUGACUAUGUAUGAGGUGGUAAAUCAAUGUGUCUCCCUUACUUCAUGUACUCUUUGGAUAUUAAUGUUCGAAGUAAGGGUCAAAGCCCAACCCCCGGCAUGAUGCCAUUUGAAAUAAAAGAACCUUUUUGAUGGUUGACCUCGAUGAUUUUCAAUAUCUUGGAUUCUACAUAAACAUAUGAAUGGUCGAUUUGAUUCUGAAUUGCAUUAAUGAAGACCAGAAAACACAUUUUGGAUAUAAUAUGGAGAUACCUAGUUGUACAUAGAGUUACUUGUUUGUGAAAUAUAUUCACUCAUGAGGAGAAAAAGGAGCAAAAUAGGAACAUAAAUUUAUUGGAGUGCCAGUGAUAUUCCUCGACUGGUGCAUGCUAGCAGACAUGACUUUUCGUCAUCUGCAACAGGCUCAAUAAGCUUAGAUCUCACAGCCCAAAGAUCAAACUUUUUGAGGCUAAUGAAGGAAAUAGCAACAGAUGGUGCCGUGGCCAGCUUGCUCACACCCCGACUAAUUCCACGGAGUAUCUACUAUCUCCCAUCAACAAAAGUUAUAUCAGGUAACUUUGUCCACCAAUGCUUAGACAGUUUCAUACGCAGUGAAUUUGUGUCCAUAGAAAGUGUCCUGAUUUGAGAUUUUGGACUACUUUCUUUGUAACCUGAGGUUUCUAUAAAUGGAUGUUCUCAUCCACAGCACCAGUACACAACAUGGAAACAUCUAACCAACUGGUCCUUCAUGUGAGGUGAUACUCAAAUGAAUUGUCUUGAUUUCUUUUGUUCAUAAACGUUUCUACCAUUCUUUUGGGGAGCUUCUGUAUGCAGAUAUAUCGAGCAGGCACCUAAAUUAGCUCAAAGUCGAACUUGGUUACAGAAUGUAGUUUGAUUAUCUUGGAUAAAACUAUCAACAAGAUUGCUUUAACCAACAACUAUGUUUAUGUCACUGCACCCAAGGGUUGUAACCUGGUGUUCAAUGAAGUGGGUUGAGCACCUUGUUCUAGCCUUGGUGGACAAAAUUACUUGGUGUCUAUUGCUAGUGGGAUGUGGCAGGUAUCCUGUGGAAUUAGUUGAGGUGCGUGCAAGCUGACCCAGACAACACGACUAUCAUGGAAAAAAGGUAUGUUUAUGCCACUGUUUCAAAUAACUUCAAAAGCAAUAGUGAAGGGAAGGUGUCUUAUAGCACGCACAAGUAAAAAUGAUGGUUACAAUCAUAUAUCUCUUCAAUCUUUGUCAGUUGUAAGAAACAAAACUUCAACUUAUGAACCCUUGGUGAGCUGUAAAAUGCAUUCUUGGAACAGCAAAUGCUGAGUUCCGGUUGGAGGGAGUUUGUGCUGGAGAAUAACCUAAAAAUAGGUGAUGUUUUGUGUCUUUGAAUAAUUUGGAAAAACAUCUCAUCUUUCUUGUUUCAGGUUCCCUUCUCUUUUCAUUUUAGCCCUAUCUUUUCCCCCCUUCAGGAUCGAACAUCAAUUGCAACGAUUCGGUAGAUGGCUCAUUGGAAAUUGGGAUAGAUGUAGAUGAACAACGCCUUUCUUUAUCUCUGCUUCAUCUGCAACAGAUACUUUUCUUACUCAUCUUCUUCUGUUCACUACCCGUAUUGGAUUUCUCAUAGACCUUUAAUUUGGAGGAACAAAGGAGGUUGUAACUAGGUUCUUAUUGGAAGUUUGGUUGGAUAUAUGAAUCAAAAAUUAGUAUAUUUAAAAUGUGUUUACUAAAGGGAAUAAAAGUUUGUAUGCUAUGGGAGGUUGUUGUGUUUUUGUUUUGUUUUUUCAUUUUUCAUUGUUCUAAUUAAUGCAUAUAUCUGCAUAAUAAGUAGACUCACACUUAACUUGUGCAUGCACUAUUAUGUAGAUAGCAAACUUGAAACAAUAAGAAUGAAAGACCAAAUAAGGAUUAAACUUGAAGCAGUGGGAUUAAAUUUGGAUUCCUCUUUGGCAUAAUAAUUCCUUCAUCAAAAUAGAGUUAAAAAUAAAUGAUGUGUUUUGUGAUAUAACAUCAAUUUAUUAGAGAACAAGUUAGUAAAUGAGUCAAGUGACCCAUCAAAUUCCAAAAUAUGUAUGGGCUAAGCCGCAAGCACAAUAAUUUCCUACGCUAUAUAAAUUGUUAAGAUACUAAAGUACUUUUUUUUUCAGUGUAAUUGUAUGAGCCUUUCAAAUUGGUUGGUUUACAAUUUUGGUCCUUAGAAAUCAAAAUUAUAUCCAACAGGACAUAAAUUAUUUAAGAGCAUAAAGUAUAACUUGUGAGAUAUUAUGAUGUAAAAAUAUAAAUUUAUGCUCAUUGAAACGAAUAUUUGUAUUAAAAAUAAAAAAUUAAGCUAGCAUUUCAUCAUAGAUUUUGAAAAUCUAUCUUUAAAUAUUCAUUAGUCAUAAAAUCUUAUCAAACAUUGAAAUUUAUCUUCAAUUAUUUUUUUAAAAUUUUCACUCACAAAUCCUUAAAAAUAUUUAAAAAUUUAUCUUCAGAUAUUUAUUCGUCAUAAUUUUAAUUUUCAAUCUCAUAGUCUAUAAUUUAACCAGAGAUAAUUUUAAUUUUUGGUCAUCUAGGUUUCGGACACUAAUAUUUUCCCUCUAGUUUUAAGAAGUCUCUUUAUCAGGAAUAGAGGAAUAUCUACGCAGUAGUGAACCCUGUUAUUUCCCGGCGGUAAAGUAAAUUGCCGCCGUCGCCGUAUUCCGUCUUCAACUUCGUCUUCAUCUUCUACAGAACAAGUCAAGAGAAUCAGAAACCUCAAAAAGCAAAAUUUCAUGCAAUCCAAUUUGUACCCAUCAACCCACACCCGUUGUUGUUUCUCAUGGAACUCAGACAAACCCCAAAUCCCCACACCCAAAAUCCUCAAACACAAGCUCAAAACUUCUAUUAUUUCCCCAGGUGUAUCUACUUCUCUGAAAACUUCAUUAAAUUUUGGAGAAGAAAAGUUUAAUAAGCAACAAGAAGAAACUACUCUGCCUUUUUAUCUUCCAGUCUCUGUUCGCAAAUCAGAUAGUCAUUCUAGGUAUAUUUGGGAUGGGAAAGACUUGAAGUUGGUAUCUGUUGACGGAAAUUCUUUUUCUAUAUCCGAUUUCGACUCUAAUUUUGAAGAUACAGUUCAUAAGUUGGUCAGAAUUUGUGUUUCGGCAAUCAGAAAUUUCUUUCUUCCGAGGGAAGUUAGUCGUAAUUACCUUGAAUACGUGAAGUGGAAGUUUGUUCAUCGUGUUUCCAGUUCUGCUCUCCAAGUUCUGGCGACCCAGGUACACUUAAUUUUUUGGUAAAUUACUGUUAUACAACAAAGUUUAGAUUUUGAUGUUGAAUUUUCAUAGUUCAGCUAUUUAACUAGUUAAUAUUUGGUAUUCAAUCUUCAUAUUCUGGUUAUUGAACUUGUAAAUUGUUGUAUACGGUGAAAGUUUCAAUCUUUGUUUCAGCUACCAAACUUGUAAAUUAUUUGUAUGCUAGGUAUUAAAGUUGGGAUUUUGAUGUUGAAUCUUCAUAUUUCGACUCUCAAACUUCUAAAAUUGUUGGUGAAUGGUAACAAGUUAAGAUUCUGAUUUUGCAUAUUCAUAUCUCAGCUAUUGAACUUGUAAAACUUGUUUAUUAAUAUAUGGUGAACAGUUCAAGUUUUAGACUUUUAGUGUUGAGUUUGGAUUCUUCCGUCGGAGUUCAUGAUGUUUGUUUAGAGACACUGGUGAAUUAGUUAUUAUGAUCUUUAUAUGAGGAAUUAACCAUUUUGUAGUUCACCUGUGGAAUUACUCUUUAUGAUCUUUAUGAAGGUACCAGUAGUUUACUUCAUAUUUGUGUGCCUGCACAAUGGGAGUUAGUAUCUAAGGUGCAGAUCACUCAAAUGCCUUCAUUGACAAUGGCUUGUGUAAUUGGUUGUAUUUUGCGAAUGACAAUAUACAGGCUAUGUUACGGGCAAUUGGAAUUGGGAACUCCCAUUCACUUCCAUUGGCUGCUGCACUAAAUUGGGUCCUGAAGGAUGGUCUUGGACGGUUGUGCAGAUGCAUCUACACUGCUAGCCUAGCAUCUUCUUUUGAUACCAAUCUUAAGGUAUAGCUUUCUAACAUAAAACAACAGAGAAUAGUUUGGGCAACUCAUCUUAUAAAAGCUUAUUUUACUGAUUUUUGAUAGUCAAAAUUCAUUUUUGUUCAAAGGGCGGGUCACAGACGGAUUUCUCGGUUAUCAAAAAAAAAAAAAACAUUUUUAUCUUUUGGAAAAUGAUGCUUAUAUAUCUUUUCUAAAAAUGUUGACUUGUACGCCAGAAAGAUUGCCAGCUUUUAAAGCAAGAUUACCUCAAGAGACUAUGUAAAAGUUUCAUCUGUUUGUUUCUUAAUUUGUUUUAUGGGGUUGGCUGCAGAGAGUAAGGUUCUGUACAUCAGUUCUCUUCAGUUUGAGCAUUGGAGUUGAAUUGUUGACUCCUGUAUUCCCACAAUACUUUUUGAUACUUGCAUCAAUUGCCAACAUUGCCAAGCAAAUAAGCCUUGCGUGUUACCUAGCAACUAGUGUAAGUCUCAGCUACAAAACAUAUGAUGUUAUAUUUAUAUGCAUGUGUAACACUUUUGGGAUCUGAUCUCAAAUUCUCCAGCUUUAGCUCUUUGUUAUGAUACUUGUUAGAUGUGAGUUAGUUAUUUUGGCUGAAAAUGAUACCUUUUCCCUUAUCUUGCCAUUUAGCUGUUUACCAUGUUUUAUUUCCCUUUAUAGUUUCUAACAAUUCCACUGCAAUUUGACAUAUAAAUUGAUUUCUUCAAAAUUUUGUUAUGUAGAGAGCUAUUAAGAUCUGAAGUACCUUUGGCAUAUUCAAAAUGGUAGGCUAAUAAAUAUAUGCACUUAUGAGGCUUUGAAUUUCUACUGUGAGGUCCCAGGUUAACUAUGGCAUAAUAAAGCUGACACACUUAAUUUUGUCACUUGGUUGAAUUGCUUUCUGAAAGUGAAAUUAGUUGAAGUUGAGUACUCUAGCCUUCUAAUUGCUUCUGCUAAUGACCAAUUCACUUUCACAAGUCCUAGAGAUCCGAGAGAAACAAUAUGUCUUCUGGAUUUAAGCGUUUUUAGAAUAUCUGUAACAGCUGGAAGAGAAUUGAUGCAAUUAUACCUUGAGUUUCUCCUCUAACAUGCAAGUGAAAUAUGAAAUUAUCAGGGAGUAACUGCUUGUUUUUGCCAGUUUAUUUGGAAAAUGGCUAUGUUCAGUAAUUGAUUAAUUGUAGUUCGCUUAAAUAGCCAAAUCGCAUGUUAAAUUUUUAGUGAUAUGAAUAAGCACAGGUGUCUUCUGGAUUUAUCAGUAACAUUAACAAAUUUGAGAUAGAAUUUCUGUUUGAGAAUUUAUUGUUGACAUGUCAACAGACUGCUGUUCAUAGAAGCUUUGCAGUUGCUGAUAACCUAGGCGAGGUUUCUGCAAAAGGACAGGUUCUCUACAAUAUUUCAUCAUGUCAUGCUGGAUUCUUAUUAGUUUCACACUUCCAAUCUGACUGUUCGUUUAUGUUUCAGAUUCAAACAGUCUGCUUUGAUAAUCUUGGUCUUACACUUGCUGCAACCCUGAACAUACUGUCUGCUAAUAAUCCAAGGUUUGUUUGUUUUCCAACUUGAAUUUCUGAAGUGUCAGCUUUUAUCUACGUUUUGAAAUGAUAAAGAGAUUCUUUGCAUUUGCCUCUAUGAACCUAUCCAUUUGGUCUAUCUUGUUGUGCUUGAAGUGGAACAGUUUAUACAACUCGAGUCUCACUAUUUCCUUUUCACACUGUAAUAUGAGAAGUGAACAUGUGAUUUAUAACUUCCACCAUUUCCUUAUACAAUAAGAUCCUAAAAGCAAGAAUUGGUCGACCCAUUUUUGUGCUGCUUCUGGUAAUCCCUGUAAUGUAGAUUUCUGACUUCUGAAUGAUAUAAAAGAUUGCAAGCAGGUCUAAUAUUUGUGAUGUACCCAGUCUUCUCGGUGCUUGACCUUUUUGGUAUUUAUCAAGGACUAAAGCAUGUGCAUCUGCAGACAUUAACUAAGGUUGGCCCUCGUUCUCUACUGAAAGCAUUUGUAUUCAAGUUGAAUUAUACUCCCUUUUUUUGGCUACUAAACUUGGGUUAUAUUUUCUUUAAGGAGAAGAAAUAUGUGAUAUGACAGUCUUUAUUGAGUGAACGUUAAUCAUCUUUACGUGUUGAUUCGGAUAUCACUCCUUUUACAUUAAUUCCAGGAUAGGCUUAAAAUCAUUAUAAGCACAUGGAUUCAACAAGGAUUUGUCCCAUCACCUGAAGAGGUGAGUAAACAGGAGGGUAUUGGCUUAUCUUGGAGCAGAGGUAAUUUUUAAUUUGCAUUUUACCGUAACAAGGCCUUAUUGCUUGGUUAACCGCUACAUCAUUAGUAGAGAAACAUUCUUAAUCAGCUUUAAUCAGGCAGAGAGCCGUGGUCUAUCAGAAUUGGUUGCUUAAAUCCUAGACGUUGCACAGCAAAGCUAUCUGUGAUGACGAUGCAAUCUUUGAAUAGUGAAGACUUCUAUUUCUUGAGCCCAGAGAGUUUGACCAGUGAAUUGAAAAGGAACCAGGAGGUAUGUAUAGCCAAAAAGUAAAAGAGAGUUUUAAUCAGGGACAGGCAAGCUGUUACUCUUCUGAAUGCGUUUCUUAAGCAGUUCUUCUUGCUUUUCUAUUACAGUAUGGUGUCCUACUUUCUCUGCGGGAAGGGGCAGACACUAUAGCUGUGAUCAGGGGCAUAUUGCAUGUAAGAUAUUGUAUCCAUCUCUUCUCAUAGUAAUGACUUCAUCAAGUAGUAAUUUGGAACUGAUGAUUUUCCUUUGCAAAUGAACUGAGAGAUACUGGUAAACCAAUAGUUUUACUUCAAAUAACAUAUCUAGCAAUGCUUGUUCUUGCUGAGCUCUUUAUAAUGGUUAGUAUUCUUUAUAAUAAACUAUUCUGGUGAUUGACAGGCAAGUUACGUCCACAAGGGUAUAGAAACUUGUGGUAGUUCUAGCGCAGUUCUCAAGCAAUGGUUUAACCUGGUUGAAGAUGGCAAGAGAUUAACAGUACAAAACUUGAGUUUCUUGUAUGAGCAAAUGUUGUCUUUGGGUUGGGCAUGUAAGAAUAUUCUGUUGAGCACGCAGGAGCAAGCUCGCUAUAGUUUUAUAACUGACUAAGCAUAUAUCUACCUUCUUCCGGUUAUGGUUGAUUUGCUAAGAGGAAAGCGAAUAAAGGGUCAAAGAAACCAAGACAAGGAGAUUUUGUCUUUAUGUCCUUGUAUUUGUAUGUAAUCAAAACUUUGGGCAUCGAAAAGAGAUGCCUUAUACAUCUGUAAGUACUGGCUGCAUAAAUAGAGCAGCAAGUGUUGUACAAAUUUUGAGUAGCUUUCUUGUCUUGUAGAUUAACCGAUUGGGGUAAAACUGUUAUCCAACAGACUAUUGUUUCCUCAUUCAUCCAUUUUGUCUAAAAGGUUUUGUAAUCAUCUCAUUUAAGAGCUUGAUAAACAUUUUAUUUAUGAAUAUACAUGCUCCAUAUAAGCGAGUCAGAUUCUUUUUUCAUGCCAAGCUGGUGGAGAUCUUUACAUUGUCUAGCAUAAGAUUGGAAUUCAACUUUUGAUACUACAUUGAAUUAGCAGUGAUCAAAAUUCAGCAGAUAUAUAACUUGGAACUCUUUUCUCAGCUCUCUGGAUACUCCAAUGUAUGGCACUGAAUUGGAACUUAGAACAAUAUAAAAGAGGGGAAGAGAAAAUGAGGAAUGGGAUUAAAAGGUGAAAAAUUGAACCCUCACUAGGCAACCAACUUAGCUACUUAGAUUUUGAAAGUCAUUUUACCUAGCACCACACUACAACCGAGAAUAUCUCAAGUUUAAAAAAAUGGGUUGUCAUUUCUCAAACCUUAGCAAACUUGUAUAACAGAUUUAGAGGAAUAUCAUGAUCAUUAGAAGCAAUUCAUAAUCUUGUGCAACCACUUAAUGAUUCAACACAUGACAAUGAGACUGUUGCAGUAUAAACAGCUCAGCAGUUCCUACCCACAAGUAUCAAUAAAAUUGCAAUAUACCAUCAAAAAGUUGUUACAUUGUUUGUUUUGUUUUGUUUUGUUUUUUUGGUUUACCCAUCAGUGUCCAAAAACAGCUCGCCAUUUAACACCUCUACCAGCAUAUUUCCCAUUAUAGCAAGCAAUACCACAUUGACAUCAGCCCGAGCUAAAAUCUUCAAAAUCAUCACCUAUCAUUUGGUACGUAGCAAGCCAGAUGUAGAUAGGAGCCGUAAUGCUUGACUGGAAUUGUUCAGAACAGCUGAUGAUCUUGACACCUGCAUCUUGCGUUUCUUCAAGAAUGCCAGUGAGCUCUCUAAGCACGGAGGAGGUGGUAGAUCCUUCAAAAUAACUGGUCCAGACCUGUAGCAAACAUACAGUGAGUAAAUAAGAGCGAGUUAUCAAUAUCAUAUUAAUUAAACAAGAAGAGAGAAUGAUGCUCACCCAGAUCUCUUGGAUCUUUUCUUUUUAGAUGUAGGCUGCUUCUCAUGUUCUUCCUCCGAGUCUGACGAGAAAACUUUCCUGCACACAAUUGAGUACCGUUUUUCAAGAAUUGAGAAGAGUAUGAGAAGACCGGAACUACCAAUAAACCAAGAAAUGCAACAACUAACUUACUUCUCACGAGCUGCAAGAAUUUUUACAAUCUCAUCAGGCAGCAUCCCUCUAUUGUCCUUUGACUCCUGGGCAUUUUCAGGUUCUUUUGUGUCUUCAAUGCUUUCAUCAUUUUGUGUAGGUCGUGGAGUUAACUUUUGAGCCCAUUGUCUACGACGUUCCUUCCUUUCCCGAACAACUCUACAACAGAGCAGUCAUUUCACGACUAAUGAUGCAACGGCCAUAAGUUGCUCACGUUUUGCAAUUAAAGGCUAUAAUCCCCGGGAAAAAACUACCAAAUCAAACAUGUCGAAUUUUCCACGAAUAUCCCCAAAUGAAUAAAAGUUCACAGGUAGCUUACAUUAGUUUUUGGGACUUAGAUAAUGGAUCAUCUUUAAUGUUAUAAAUAACAGGAUCAAAGGACCAUAAACAAAUCGAAGUUGACAUCUAGAUUAGGCUCUUAGAAGAACUAAGAGGACCUGCAUGGCAAAUAGAAUAACUUUCAUAUUUCCUUGAACCUAAUACUGAUUAGGCUCUUACAUGUAUCCUCCAAACCAACUGAACAAACCAGUUUGUAAGGACAAAACAUUUCUAGACUAGAACACAUAUACCUGAAUAUCAAGCCUACAACAACGCAGUGAUAUAAUACUUGUUUACUUCUCAAUUUACGAAAAACUCUUAACUUUCUCCUUUUUCUCCCGUCACGAUGCUUUUGAACAGGAGUUCAAAUCUCGGUGGAACCUUUACUUUAAAAUAAUAAAACUUUUGUACAGAAAUGCAACUUUCUCCAAUUCAAACCUUAAGACCUAUGAAGUAAAUAGCUUCCUUAACAAUUAAACUAAUUCAAUACUGAUCACCAGAUAAAUUGAGCAAUUAUGCCAGAAUCCAACAAACACAUUAACCUUGGUAUGAAAAAAUGAAAUGCCAUGUUGAAUUUCAAAAUUGGCAGAAAAAAAGUGAACUCCCAGAACACCCUUGGGUGUGGCCUAGUGGUCAAUGAAGUGGUUGAGAACCAUGUGGCCUCAAGUUCUAUUCUCAUCAGAGACAAAAAAAACACUAGGUGAUUCUUCCUAUCUAUCUUGGACAGAGUGAUCUAGUACUUGUUGCUUGCUGGUGGGAGGUGACAGGUAUACCUUAGAAUUAGUGGAGGUCGUGAAAACUGGCCCGCGGUUAUCGAAAGAAAAAAAAGUGAUCUCCCAUCUUCUCAAAGAUACAAGCUUUCAAAUUAAAACUGAGAAUGAUCCAUGAUUUUAAGUCAGAGAGCGCACUUGCAUCCACUACAAAGCAGGAUAUCAAACAAAGUUCAAGUAUUUAUCAUACUCGGAUGGCUAAUAAAUAAACUAGUGCUAAACUAGCAUUACAGAAACCUUAAAAGAGCUGAAUUUUUAACUUCCAAUUACCUUCCCUCGAAACAAAACAAAAAAUCAAAUCAAAUUAUGAAGAAAGCAUACCUAGCCUUAUGUUGUCUUUCAACUUUUGUAAUCUCCUCAUUGUUUUGAAUUCCCUGCAAUGAAAACCAAUUAGCUCAACUUCUUCGACUACAUCUGCUAUCGCCAAAGACAUUAAUUUUGAUAAGAGAUUUCAGAGUUAAACAAACCUGUACGGAAGUUAGUUCUUCCGGCGCAUCGGAAUCACUAUCUUCUCCUCUUCCCGACAUAUCGCUUGAGCAAAGUAUCGCACUGUGGCAGAGGGUUUUAGGGCUAGGGUUUUGGAGCACAAGUAAAGGAGUGAGUUAGUGUACUUGUGAAAUAAAUUUUCGGGUUACCCCAAUUUUAGCCCAAAUGUUAAAAACAUCUCAUACGUGGGACGGUUUAGUUUGGUUCGAAAAUCAGUUAUGAUGUGUGAUUAAUUAUGUUGAAUAGUUCCUUGAUUUGCUAUAUUAAACAUAAUAUGUGUUGCGUAAUUUUUAAGAAUAAAUUAUUUGUAUAAAAAAAAUACUCGCAAGAGGAUGUGAAAACUGAAAAGUAAGGUAUACAAAGGGUUUGAUAGGUAAUUUUGUCAUUUUAACUAUUUUAUUUGAGAAAUAUGAUCCCAAAAUAAUUAUUUCACUCGGAGGCAAUGAUAACUUAUCCAAUCCUAAGUAGGCGUUUGGACAUGUGAUUUCACGUUGAUUUCAUAUCGUGAGAUGAAGUUUCAAAUUCUCAAAAAAGCAUAAUUUGGGAAUUUCAAAUCAUAAUUUGAGGCUUUUAUAAAUACAAAAAUUGUCCUACAAAUUUAUAUUUUAUAAAAAUAGCCCAUAUUUAUAUCUACUAACACUUUAUUUCAUAUGUAAAUAAAAUUUAUAUUUCUUAUUACUUUUUAAAUCAUUUAUAUUCAUAUAACGAUUAUGAUCAUCAGCAUAAAAUUUAUUAUUACUUCAAAUCAAUUCCUUCUUUUCCAUUUAUAUUCAUCAAAUUCUUUAUUUUUGAUCAAAUUUAUUUACCAACCAAAUUGACCAACAAAUGGCACAAAGCAACAAUGUUGGUUCGUUUCUCGGUCAUAUGAUUGAGAAAUGCAAGUUCAACGUGAGAAGAUUGUUUAUACUACGUGGGGGUAUAUUAAUAGCUAGUACACUACAACUUAUGUUCAAAUUUCUUUUUUUAUUGAAUUAAAGUUUAAUCAAUAAAUGUUGUAUUUUCUUUAGUUCUAUGAUAGUAUAUUAUGUGAUUUUAUAAACUUUUGCUUAUUUGGUAAGAUUGUAUAAAGCAUUGGAACAAUUUUAAUAGUUUUACAACUUAUGGAGAUUUUAUGUUUGUGAGAAAAUAUAUAACAUAAAAAUCCAAAUUGUAUGGUCCAUACCAAACUUCAACUUCAUCUCAUAAUUUCAUAUCAUGAUUUUAUGUUAUGUGAUUUUAUAAACUUUUGCUUAUUUGGUAAGAUUGUAUAAAGAACUGGAACAAUUUUAAUAGUUUUUAUAACUUAUGGUGAUUUUAUGUUUAUAUGAAAAUAUACAACAUAAAAAGUUCAAAUUGCAUGUCCAUACAAAACUUCAACUUCAUCUCAUAAUUUAAUAUCAUGAUUUCAUAUCACAUGACCAAACGGACCCUACGUAUUAAUUCUGGGAUAAACUAUCCCAAACUUUAUAACCAAACAAGAUAUUAAUAAGAGGUACUAAAAAAAAUCUUUUUCUCCCUUUUAGUUUUGGUACCUGAACUAGCUUCGUUCAUCUCAAUUUCUCAACUAUUCCACAUUGGUACCUCCCACCUGCACAAUUAUUGAGCGACUACCAAUGGUUUAGUAGAUAGGAAAAAAUACUUUCUUUUGAAUCGCAAGAUUUAUUGUAAUGAGAAAUUUAUAUCAUUCUUUCUUAAAUCGCCUUAAUUUUAAUUGAUCCUAUAAUUUGAAAUUUAGACAAACUCAAGCCAAACACAAAAUUUCACACAAGGUAGUGUUUGAUUAGCCAUAUAAAAAUAAUACUAUAAUUGUCACCUUUCCAAGUUCAUAGUUUGCAAGCGUAAAAUGUGUGAAGAAAACUUUACAACUUAAAUCCAUCAACCACAAGUACUUUAUAUGUCAAAAGAACAUAAUCACAUAACCAGAAAUGUUUAAACAAAACCAAAUCCAUUUAUUCAGAGGUCUGCUUGCAGCAUUGAACAUUGAAAUUCGUGGAUGAAACACACAUAUGAUUGUUGCAGCUAUAGUUCAUCAAACGACUCGAAAUAGCAGAGCCCAGAUUGGAUAGACCAACAGAAGGACUAUACCAACUGUGUUAGAUAUACCAUUACUUUGUGUGAAGGAAUUUCUGAAUCCACCGGAGGCUCUGAUGUGCUCUUGGAGGAGAUAGCAGCCAAUCAAAAGACAUAUCGCAGUGCCAAUCCAACUGUCUCUGAGAGUGUGGGCAAAGAUGUUGGGUGCAACCACUAGGAGUAGGAUUAAUGAACCAGGCAUUUCCAACCAGUCUGUAUUUCAUGGACAACAGCAUUAUAAAGGAGGAUUAGCAUAUAAAAGAACCAUAGAGCAAGCAUUAGUAGCGUAACUUAAGUAGAUAUGUUGGUACCAUACUUUGAGGUAAAUAGUAAUACAUAGGCAAACUUAGGAUUAAAAUUUAGUGUUGAUUCUCCCACAUUGGUUGUGGAUGGUUGUUUGGUCUCCUUAUAUUUCGCCUCCAUGUGUGUGUCAAUGUGUCUAUUUUUUAGAAGAAUAGUAUACGAGCCAGCUUGCACACACAUCAACCAUGUGUGUGUCAAUGUGUCUAUUAUAUAGAAGAACAGUAUACGAGCCAGCUUGCACACAUAUCAACUAAUCCAUCGAGUACCUUUUGCCCUUCCUGACCACCGGGCCGUAGACUUCCUAGUCUUUCCACCAUCUAUGAUUAAGUCUAAGGGUGUAAAUAGAUUUGUUGGAGCUAAUGCUCAAUUGAAUUUUAUUUUUAUGGGUGUUAUUGUGCUGAUGCAAAAAAAUAUCCAGGGGAAACUACAUUAAGUUCAUCAUGAGAGCUCCAGGGAGUGAAGAUAUUAUCACUAUAUGCAAAUCGUGUUUUACCUUCAGAAUAAAUAUAAAAGAAUCUACCGAAGAAAGCAAAAUCGCAAUAUCUAAUCCUAGUGACUGUUCUUAGUUGGCAAUGCUGCAACAUCUUCAAAAACUUCUAGAUUAUCUCUAGAAUUGCUAGUGAAGAACACGUCACAUUCUCCACUGAUAAACAUGCAUAUAGUUACCGAAAGGCGAAUGAUGGUAGUAUGAACGAACCAGUUGACAAUUACUGGUUUUGGUGGCUGGGUUAGUAUUUCAUCACUAUGUGAAGCUCUGAGUUUCAAUAAGUAUACUCACAGAAACUUUUUGAGUUGAAUAUCUAUGCAGCUUGAAAAAUUUAAAGACAUCUCUUCCGCAAACCAUGACAUGUCAUGCUAAUAAUUGGGGAGCAUAUUACUUGCUGGAAAGUGUUUCCAGUUGUUUUUUUAAUAUUAAGAAACAGUUAACGGGAAAGGUAACAGAAUCUUGGAUUACAAGCAAAAGAACUUAAUUUCUGAAAAAUGAAAAUGAUAACCAAUAGGUUACUUUCAUCAUAUAAAUCAAAAGCUAAUGUUCAUACCUGGAAAAUGUCGUGGGAAGAAAAGCCUGAGUACUACUGCAACGAAAGCAAUCCAUUUCCCAACCUCUCCUCUGGAGAUCAAAAACGAUAAUCGAUUAACGAAGAAAAGAACCUCUUUGAAUCAGGUAGCAACAAGUGAUAAGAGAAUAUAUUGGAUGACACGAAGCAAGGAAAACUAAAUAGUAGCAAACAAGAGAAGUUUACCUGAAGAGGUGGAAUAACACUGCAGGGAAACUGAAGAAAAUAUAUGGGACUAGAAGUCCAGUCAGCAUAUUUGUUUUCCAGUUUGUCCGGUCCAGUAUCAGCAAAUAACUGCAGAUGAUAUUUGCUCGAACGGUUAUCAAAAAAUCCAUCAGGAAAAAGGUGUAAACUCUAGAUUCUAAACAAACCUGUUUGACUAAAAGCAUUUAAAAUUACUUGCAACCAGCAAACUGAGCACAUUCCACCAAGAUGAAUUAUAUUUCACCAGCUCCCUUAACAACAUCAGAAUAUACUUAUUCAAUUGUUUCAUCUAAAAGCUUAAAACAAUAUUCCUGUCACGUCAUGUUCUCUAGAGGUUUUACACCAUAUCAUGUAUGAGGGUGGGUUAGCUUUUUACACUGAAUUUCCUGAUGUCUUCCUCUGGGCAUACUUAAAUUAAUUGGAAUGAUAUUGCAAUGUUAUGGCAUGUUAAACUGCUUCAACAAAACAAAUGACUCCAUAUGCAUGUAAAGGUGAAUUCAAGAUUUGCAGUUGCAAUUUGGAGUUCCCCUGCACCCACUAAGAUGUCAAGAGAAAGUCUUGGACUUCUCUAUUGCAUUUGGAAGGAGACCGAAGAUAAGAUUUUCUGAAGCAGUGCGGUUAUAUUUUAUUUUUUUGAUAACCGAGAAAUCCGUCUGUGACCCGCCCUUUGGACCAAUCACAGCCUUCUAAACUCGGUGGAUAAUGGGCCCGCCCCUCUACCCUUCUCCACUUUAAUACCGGGCUUCGCUUUGCAUGGUGUGGGGCUUGAACCUGCGACCUAAGCCACAAAUCCUCCACCUUUUGCCACUUGAGCUAGGCCUUGGGGGCUGCAGUGCGGUUAUAUUUAGGAUGAAAAGUUUGUCAAGAAAUAUGGGUCAACGCUUGGGAUGUCUCUUCUUAUUUUAAAUAGAUAACAAUUCUCUUGGAUUUCCUCAUGUAUAGUCAAAGUAGAUUACUUCUCUGGGAUCUAAAUGAAAGAUACAACAUAAAGGAAACAAAAAUAGGAGGAAAGAAGACAUUCCACAUUGCUGAAACUCAGUUCAAGAUGUAACAAGUUCAAAAAGACCAUUGAGUUGAAAUAUGGACACUAAUACUAUACAGCAAGUUUUAUCCAGUCAGAGAAAAGUACAAAUAUUUAAACAUGUAGGAUCCAUCCUACAACAAUACACAUACUGUUUGGCAGAGUGAAAAUUUUUAUCCACUCCUACUUGUUAAUUAACUUUCCACAGCAAAUGUGUCAAUAAGACAUUCCAACAUGUCUUAUUAUCUAGGAUUUAAUCUUCCUCUGUGGAUUAGCAUUGUUGUUGGUUUGCCAAUGCAGGACAAUCAGGUGUCAGCCAAGAAAAUUCAAUACAUUAAUUUUGCGGGAGCAAAUUUCAUAUCCCUGAUAAUAACAGUGGAAUAUGCCUAAUCUAUUUCCAGGUUAGAAGUCUAUACUUUCCAAUUUGCUACAACUUCAUGAGCUUUGCCAAUAUGAUGCAUUUUUCAACCAAGUCAUGCAUUGUGGGUGAUUGGUAACUGAAUCAGUUGGUGUACCACAUUAUUGUAGACUUAAAUGGCACUUGUUCUUUACUCAGUAGAAAUUUUAAGCUAGCAGCAGAUUUGAAUGCAUUUCUCUUCCCUUUUCAUUAGGUAUAUUUGAUGUGUAAUUAGCAGUGAACUAACGGACUCAAUUGCUCAUGGGGAUAACUAAAGAUCAACGAUUCAAAUUUCCUAAGGAUAUGACAACCCCAACCUCCAAUAGUCCCUAGAAUCAGAUUUAUUGUCAUGCUGAAGCAACUCACCAGCCAAAUUCCCACCAAUAAGUUUCACCACUGAAAACUUCUGAGUUCAACAGCAAUGUUGGCUAACAGAUCAAAAUAUUUCAAGCUACUGACUAACAAACUGAAAAGGGACAUCUAAGAUGAUUAAAUCCCCGCCAAUCCCACUCCAAAACAGUGAAACGGGAGGGGUUAAAACAUACUGUUAUGUGCAGGCAUUAUCCCAUCCAAUCGCUAACUUCAGACAUUUGGGUAUGAAGUUAGGUUUCCCAGUCCCCAACUUCAAAUCUUUUGGGAUAAACGUUUUCAACUUUAGAUGAGCAAUUCUCAACUUUAGUCUCGUGAGUCUGAAGUGAUUAAACUGUUGAUAAUAUAUCUAUUUUUAAAGGAUUAGUUGAUGCCAAAGGUUGGCAUCACAUGAUGGCUUUAGGCCAUUCACAUGUAGUGACAAUGUAAUCACAUAGCUUCACAUGUUAUCUCAUAUUAGUAUCCCAUUUUCUCAUUUCAAAACCCUCCUAUAUCUGCUUUAAGAGUUCACAGAGAAAAAGCAGAGAACGAAGAAAUCAACUCAGUAGCUUAAACGUCAUUUUCCCAUCUUGCUGGUUUGUAGUAAAAGUCAUUUUGUUUUUUCUCUGUGAACUCUUCUGCUAGCCUAUAUAGGAGGCUUUUGAAAUGAGAAAAUAGAAUACUAAUAUGAGAUAACAUGUGAAGUCAUGUGAUUACAUUGUCAUUACAUGUGAGCGGCCUAAGGUCAUCACGUGAUGUGAACCUUUGACAACAAAUAAUCCUUUUAAAAUAGAUAUAUUUUCAACAAUUUUUUUAUUGAGCUUAGAGAGCACCAGCUCAUUAUCCUUUCACAUCACAAAGCGAGGACUAUUCGUUGCUCUGUGAAACCAGUCUCACUCAAUUUACCCCACUCUAAGAGCCAAGCAGCCCAUACUUUCAUUUGGACCACAUAGCCCAACUCUGUGCUUGGAUAGGGCAGGUCAGAGAUUAGUCCACCAAGCCCAACCAUCAAGAUCAGCCCAACAUUCCACCACAUUGUUACCCCCACUUAGGUUACAAGCUCACAUUACAAGGCUCGGCUUUUAAAAUAGACAAAACUUCAUCAUUGACCUUCAAAGCUAAGGAGAUAGCACUCAAGGCAAAUCUUGUUUAAUCCUAAUAUGAGAUAUCAUGUGAAGCCACAUAAUAACAUUAUCACUACAUGUGAAUGGCCUAAGGCCAUCACAUGAAACCAACCCUUUGGUAGCAAGUAAUUCUUCUAGUCUUACUGCCAAAGAUUGGCAUCACAUGAAGUGACAAUGCUAUGUUAUCUCAUACUAGUAUCUCAGUUUCUCAUUUCGAAAGCCCCAUAUUUGCCUUCAUAAAUUGAGCAGAAGAGUUCAAUAAGAAAAAGCAAAACGGAGAAAUCAACUUUGUAGCUUAAAAGCCAUUUUCCUAUCUUGCUGGUUUUGUAGUAAUUAUAUUUUGUUGUUCCUAUUCCUUCUUUUAUAGAGAAAUCUUGUUUGAUCCCGGGGAAACAUUUCACAUCUCAAGAUCCUAUUAGCUGAUUAAGUUCACAUAAAAUAUUUUCAUCUUCUUUUAGUUAUACCGAUCAACCUUUACUAGAAAAUUCUGGAGUAUUAUGCCUUAUAGAGACAAAUGCUAACUAACGGAGAUACAUAUAUUUUAUGUAGUUAACUCAACUACUCAAAACUUUUUCCAAAAUUUGAACCAAAAGUAUCUAAUCGAAAUACGUUAUCAUGUGUUCAUAUGCACAAUUGAAAAGAUGUCUUAGUUCUUGUGUCUAAAUAAAACUUGAUGGCUUUAUCACUUUCCAAUCUUUGAAAUUGAAAAUCUCAAAAUCAAAAGGAGACAAUAUCAAGCUAUUACAGGUCAAAAGUUCACAGAAAUAAAAAGAGAUAAUCUAAUCGUGUAAUGCCUUUCCCAGUUUCCACAUUGUAAUAGAUAUAUAUAUAAAGAGAAAAGGGAGUUUAGUGAACAUUACAUGGCAGCAAAUGAGGCAAACCAUUUGAGGAGAGAAGUACCAAAUCCAAGACCCCCAAGCUUAGUGGCAUGGUUAAAGAGCUUCUUAGCAGCUAACUUUAGCUCAUUCAGAUCUUCAUCAAUCAAUUUGUUAGUAUCUUCAUCAGUCUUCAUAGCCAAAUAAUCCAUCCUCCCCAUUUUUCUUUCAACUCCUACUACCAGAUCUGAAAAGAAAUACUGAUCUCUUUAUUCAAUUCCGAAUUAUUGUGUACUCUCCAGUCUGUAUUUGCUUAUCCCAACAUCAGAUUGGAUAUGGGUGUUAAAUCUGUAAUAACUGGACACGUGCGGCCUUACAAGUGCACUCAAAUUUCGCCAUUUUGACCGAAGUUAACGUAACUUGCUUACACGUUUCUUACAAUACCGGAAUUCACUCACUUCUCUGUCAUCGCUGACUCAAAAUUUAAGUUCCACUAACCGCAAUGAAUUCUUCGACCAUCACCAAUAUUUAUAUCACGUUAAAAAUUUAAAAUACUAAUUUUUGAAAGUUGAUUUAUUUGGUUUUAACUUAUGGAGAAACUAUUUUUAUAAGGUAUAAAAUAGCUUUUUUGUUCUAGUAUAAAAAAAAUUGUCAUAUAAUUAAGUGAACUCUUGUAUGGAAAAAAAGCAUCUCAGAUUUAUUUCGUUUGUAAUACACCAUCUCUUAAUCGAUUAUUAGCAAAAAAAGACACUUUCUUAUUUUUAUUCUGGUUCUUGCACUUCAACAUCAAGAUUGUUUUUUCUUUGUUUAAAUUUAGAUAUAUUCAUUUCAUUUAUUUUUAUUUCUUUGACUUGGACCAAAAGGAAAAGAUGUUUGAUCGAGGGUGUGUUUUGUACGACGGAGAAUGUUUUUCAAUUUUUUCAUGUUUGGUUGGGUUAAAUAUUUUCCAAAUCAACUCAUUUUUCUCAAAUUUAAGGAAAAUGACUUCCCUUCAAAACUUAAGAAAAACAUUUUCCAAAACUCUCUUCCAACUUCAAAUUACAAUUACUUUUUUGUUGAAAAAAUCAAUUUAUUUUGUCCCUACCCUCAAACCAACCCCCCAACUAACCCCCCAAAAAAAUAAAUUAAAGCUUGCUUUUAAAUUUAAUUUUUUUUACCCACCCUCACCCCUACCCCUACCCACAUCCCCUCCCAAAAAAAUAUUAAAAAUUAUUUUUAAAAGAUAUUUCUAAUUUCAAUUUUUAAAUUUUUUACCANNNNNNNNNNNNNNNNNNNNNNNNNNNNNNNNNNNNNNNNNNNNNNNNNNNNNNNNNNNNNNNNNNNNNNNNNNNNNNNNNNNNNNNNNNNNNNNNNNNNNNNNNNNNNNNNNNNNNNNNNNNNNNNNNNNNNNNNNNNNNNNNNNNNNNNNNNNNNNNNNNNNNNNNNNNNNNNNNNNNNNNNNNNNNNNNNNNNNNNNNNNNNNNNNNNNNNNNNNNNNNNNNNNNNNNNNNNNNNNNNNNNNNNNNNNNNNNNNNNNNNNNNNNNNNNNNNNNNNNNNNNNNNNNNNNNNNNNNNNNNNNNNNNNNNNNNNNNNNNNNNNNNNNNNNNNNNNNNNNNNNNNNNNNNNNNNNNNNNNNNNNNNNNNNNNNNNNNNNNNNNNNNNNNNNNNNNNNNNNNNNNNNNNNNNNNNNNNNNNNNNNNNNNNNNNNNNNNNNNNNNNNNNNNNNNNNNNNNNNNNNNNNNNNNNNNNNNNNNNNNNNNNNNNNNNNNNNNNNNNNNNNNNNNNNNNNNNNNNNNNNNNNNNNNNNNNNNNNNNNNNNNNNNNNNNNNNNNNNNNNNNNNNNNNNNNNNNNNNNNNNNNNNNNNNNNNNNNNNNNNNNNNNNNNNNNNNNNNNNNNNNNNNNNNNNNNNNNNNNNNNNNNNNNNNNNNNNNNNNNNNNNNNNNNNNNNNNNNNNNNNNNNNNNNNNNNNNNNNNNNNNNNNNNNNNNNNNNNNNNNNNNNNNNNNNNNNNNNNNNNNNNNNNNNNNNNNNNNNNNNNNNNNNNNNNNNNNNNNNNNNNNNNNNNNNNNNNNNNNNNNNNNNNNNNNNNNNNNNNNNNNNNNNNNNNNNNNNNNNNNNNNNNNNNNNNNAAAAAAAAAAAUCAUUCAUAAAUCAAACACCAAAAAUAUUUUCUACUCACCAACCAAACAUAAGAAAAUAAGUCAAAAAUCAACUUAUUUUCCAGGAAAACAUUUUCUAGGAAAACAUUUUCCUUCAUACCAAACACACACCCGAACCAAUAAUUCACUUGUCUUUAACUUUUUUUUUUCUUAAUUUUUUAACUUCAUUUGGAAUGAUGACCGCACAAUACACAAUCAUCACGAAGAUGAGAUGAAUCGUGUAACUGCUUUCAUAUGUAUGAAAACUUUAUGGAAUCUGGUCUAUGCCAUUUUUGAGAUAUAUGUGGUCACAACAUGUAUGAAAUAUGUGUUUUAAAAUAUUAAAAACCGACGUACAUAUGAAAUGUGAAGGGAAUCUGGCUAUAUUAAUUGUGAUGUGUAUGAUUGUUGUAUUUUGUACUUAUAUGAUUUCUAAAAUUCCUUUUGAACAAAAGAAAAUAGUGGACAAUAUAGAUUUGGAUGUGGGAGAGAAUAGGGGAUAGAAAACACGUUGAAUCAAGGCAUAAUACAUAUAUUAGACCCUAAACUUUGCUUCAAAUUUUAACUUUAGCCUUCAACUUUCAUAGUGCACAAAUAGGCACUUUAACUAUCCAACCUUUUAAUUAGAUAAACACGCGAGUCCCACCUGGCAAAAUGUGUGAUAUGCACGAAUUCUGCGCGAGUUGGGAGUUAUUUUCGAGGCCCACAACGGAAAAAAAAAUGUUGAAAUGACAAUCCUAACCCUUAAUGAAUCCCUUUUAUAUAUAUAUAUAUAUAUAUCUUUAUAUUUCCAAAUCAAAAUCUCAUUUCUCUUUUCCUCCUCUUUCAAACUAAGUUUUUUCCUCUCUUUAAAACGAUUUGUGCUCAUAAUUAGUGCAAAUGGAUUCUAAUUUUUUUUGUCAUUGUGGAAAAAGAGCNNNNNNNNNNNNNNNNNNNNNNNNNNNNNNNNNNNNNNNNNNNNNNNNNNNNNNNNNNNNNNNNNNNNNNNNNNNNNNNNNNNNNNNNNNNNNNNNNNNNNNNNNNNNNNNNNNNNNNNNNNNNNNNNNNNNNNNNNNNNNNNNNNNNNNNNNNNNNNNNNNNNNNNNNNNNNNNNNNNNNNNNNNNNNNNNNNNNNNNNNNNNNNNNNNNNNNNNNNNNNNNNNNNNNNNNNNNNNNNNNNNNNNNNNNNNNNNUUAUGGGUUAGUGGCUACCACUAUCUAUUGUAAGCAAUCAAAAUAAUGGAUGUGAAAUGCACUAUUUUAGAGUUGGCAACAGUUUUGUCUCUCAACAUUGGUUUUACUAUUCAUCACUUUUACAACUUACAAGGACAUUACUUAGCAUGAUUCAUACACUUUCAUACUAGCAUGAUUCGCACACUUUCAUACAUAGUAAACACCUAACAUCAAGGCAGCCUAACAUCAAUCAUAACAAACACCAAAAGACUUCACAAAACAUAACUUAAUAUCCAUUAAACUAGGACAACUAAAUACCCUCCAAAGAUUUGUCUAUGCAAACAUACAUCAAAAUAACCCAAAAUACUUCAAAAUGAUCAGUAAUUGUUGUAUGCCUUUACAAACAGUUAAAAUAAACAAAAACAAAGACCUCCUAGAUCAACAUUUAUACACAUCAUUAACACUUUAAACUCUUAUGGAACCCACUUGCCCUUGGAUUUGCUUUGCACCUUUUUCUUUGACAAUUGUUGAAGUUGAUUUCUAGUUGUUGCAUCUUUUCCUUUCCAUUUCAAACCAGGUGGCUUGAAUCCAAGAUCAACAUUUGUUUGUGAUGCAUCUUUAAAUGAUAUCCCUGCUCCACUUGAGAUAACCCUUUCACUUGAUCUUCCUGGCUACAUAAUUCAUAGGGCAUUAUUUAAUAUACCUAAAUAAAGAUGUACGAAAAUAAAUUAAAGAAGGCAAUAAACAUACGUUAAUCACUUGUCUUUCGGUUUGUAUAUCUGUGUAAACACCAAAUCCCACAUCUCUUGUUCUUUUUCUUCCAACUGAAGGAGCUGGUGGCAUUCCAACUGAAGACGGUGGUGGUCAUUCCAACUGAAGAAGAUGAUGUCCAUGCAGUUGAAGAAGAUGGUGCCCUUGCAGUUGGCUGCUUUUUUUUCCUUCCUUUAACCUUUGAAGUAUCUGCACAUAAAGAAGAGGCAUUUCCAGUGCUAGGCUACCUCAAUGGUGGUUGUGAAGGCUGCCUCACUGGUGGUUGUUGAAAAGGCCUUGCAGGCUGUUGUGUGGGCUGUUGAGAGGGUUGUAAAGACACUGUCGUGCCCCAUUUUUCGCAAAACGGACUUUCCUUUCGGAAUGCACGACCUAACAACUCUUUUGGGAUUUGGGUGAAUUGAAGAGUCGCCACCUAACGAAUUAAGGCGCGUUAGGGCACCUGUCUAACCUAAACUAAUUCUAGCUAAGGUCAAAGAACCAGAGAUCAGGGUAAGGGUUCAAAUUACCUCGAGGGGAAGGUGUUAGGCAUCCCUCGAAGUCCACAAAUGUGGGUCCCGACCGUGUCUCAUGCAAUAUGUGGGGGUUACAAGUAGCAAGUAUGGUCACUUCAUUUAUUAUUUAUUUAAUUAACAUGAUUGCUAAGUGAUAACUAAUAUUAAAUAAUUAAGAUCAAUUUAUUUAUUUAUUAUUUAAUUAAACAUGCAAAACUAAGUGAUAACAAUAUUAAGCAAUUAAGGGCACUUAAAGUACUUUAAUUAGUUUAUCAUGCAUAACUAGGUGACAACAUGAAAUUAGCAAUUUAGGACAUUUUAGUUAUUUUAAUUAAUUAGAUAGGCAUGCGAGACUAAGUGAUAAUAUAAUAAAUAAAUAUUACACAAUAAGUAAAGAGAUGAGCAAGGGGAUAGAAAUUUGCACAAUUAGAUAGAAUAAACACUUUUUAUUUUUAUUAAACUACCCCAAAUAAUUAUAACAAGUAAAGGGAGAAAAGGAAAGGGAGACUCUGAAGGACUUUAGGAUCAGCACUCGACUUUCUUUAUUUCGAUCAGUUUCUUGUAGGGACAGACAAAACUAAGGUUCGUCAUUUAGAUCGAGUCGAUGUCAUCAUCUCCAUAGGGCCUAAACUACCCCUACCCCACCACCGCAUGCUUUUCGUUUCUAAGAGGUGCCUAGCGUCCCCGCUUAAGGUUCAAGAGGCAUUGAACUACUAUUAGGAUGGAUUUAGACAAAAGAAAGCUCCUAAUAGGCCCACCUAGACACCAAGUCAAACACGUUGAACAAGCAUUUAGCACAUAGGGUCUCAUAUUGGCCUCUAGAUUUUUUUUAACAUGCUGGCAAACACAAGUAAUGUGAAAGGUCGCAUGUGAGUGUAUGCACAUAUAAAAACAGGCAGCAAGCAACACAACAAUAUAACAGUUAAUUAAUGAAAGGGCAGAUAAUUAUGAUAUAAGGCAGAUUUU